rnacentral:piRNA from 1 species
UGUCAUUAGCAGCCCAUUUCAUCAUGGUC